GGGGUGGUGGCGCAGUUGGCUAGCGCGUAGGUCUCAUAAUCCUGAGGUCGAGAGUUCGAGUCUCUCUCACCCCA